GUUCUGGAGGGAUAAUGUGCUCAAAGUACUUUCUAUACUUGUGUGAGAAUGUCCGUACAGCCCAGUAGCAUACACUAUGAGUGUAUAGUAACCUAGCAUACACUGAAUGUAUAGUAACCUAGCAUACACUAUGAGUGUAUAGUAACCUAGCAUACACUAUGAGUGUAUAGUAACCUAGCAUACACUAUGAGUGUAUAGUAACCUAGCAUACACUAUGAGUGUAUAGUAACCUAGCAUACAGUAUGAAUGUAUAGUAACCAAAAUGUAAAAAGUAAAAUAAUGCCUUGCAUCAUGGAAAAGUAAAUGCUUGAGUUGAAUUUAAAAAGAACCCUCAACCAGUCAAUGAUGUAGCACGGCAUUAAUCCCAGCACUCUGGAGGCAGAGGCAGGAGGAUCUCUAUGAAUUCCAAGAUAGCCUGGUCUAGAGUGAGUUCCAAGGCAGACAAACACAAAGAAAUCCAGUCCUGAAAAAAAAAAGGAAAAAAAAAAAGAAGAAUGAGUAUAAAAUAUAUGCUAGGAACUCAGAACGGAACCAUACCCUCUCCCCAGCCCACCAAUCUCCCUAAGAAAUGCAGAUUCUCAGCGGUUAAGAGCACUGACUGCUCUUCCAGAGGUCCUGAGUUCAAUUCCCAGCAACCACAUGGUGGCUCAUAACCAUCUGUAAUGGGAUCCAAUGCCCUCUUCUAGUCUGAAGACAGCUACAGGAUACUCAUAUACAUGAAAUAAAUAAAAAUCUU
ensembl:sense_intronic Gm15963 predicted gene 15963